UGACCUCCGCGUGUGUCUGGACAUGACAGGCUUAGCCAGAAUUAUUCUUUUAUCAUUUACCAUUUGCCAAAGCUGCUUCCAUUCAUUGCUCAAACAAGAAUCAAUCUCAUACCACUUCAAUAGUUUAAAAGAUGGCAGAAUUUGUUGGAAGCCGAUAAUACAGAAGCCAUAAUAACCAGAAUUGAACAUAAAUCCCGCAAAAUUGAAAGCUUACUCGGACAGCAGAAACCCGUGAAGGCUUUAAAGACAGCCUUGGAAGGCUCCCCUCCCAAUACCAAAGACGAACGCUUCUGCAAAUUGGAUAGUUGUGCAUAGAGCAAUAAUGGCAAUAAAAGGUGUGGAUAGCUUGUUCUCGUAUCUUGAUCCCCGAGUAUUACGUAUUCUGCAGAAAUUUAUUCCUAAAAAACUCACAAAGGCGUGGACCCACAUGAAUAAACAAUAUCAAAAAAUUAACAAUAAAGUUAUUUGUGACACCCCGGACGACACUCCCCUCACAAGAGAGGGGGGCCCAUACGUAAUAAAAUAAUUGUGGGCUCCCCUCUUGUUAGGGGAGUGUCAUCCGGGGUGUCAACCCCGGAUGUACAAAUAGUGAAGUCUAAAAAUUAACCCCCAUGGUGUCGGUAGGGGUUGUACACCAAUCAUAACUCUUGUCAUAAUUUUCUUGUCUACAAUUCUGUUUUUUUGCAAUAGGAGAUUUCUGUAAAAUGUUUGGGUUUUUCCAGAAGCUGAUUUAAAAGAUCUGUUUUUUCUUCUGUAGUAAUAGCAAAUUUUGACUUUUUAUGAGGAAUUCUUAAGCAGUGGACUUUAUCCUUUUAAUGUUAAUUUUGCAAGAAGGAAGUUUAACAUGUUCAGCUUUUGCAAAAUAACAAUCGAGGCCCUAAAUUUCUCAAUAACAGAGUUUAUCCAUGGUAUAGGCUGUCAUUUGUUCUUGGAAGCUUUUAGUGUUGGACUGUCGCACUUGUGAAGUUGGAGACUAUUGAUUCAUUAGAAAAGUAUCUACUAUUGAUGCAGAAUGUAAAGCAAAAUGAGAACAAUAGAGAAGAAAUAGAGAGGAGAAGGAGAAGAGUCAAAAAGAAUAAAAUAGACAGAAAUUAAAGAGAGAAGAAGAAUUUGGAGUUUUAAUAAUCAAUAAUUUGAUCAUAUUGAAAUCCAAGGUCCCUUUAACAGGGUGAAGUGCUUAAGUCUUACUGAACCUUUAAGUUAUCAAAAUAUAAAAUCUUAGAUAAAUCAAAACUACAGAAACACGAUGUAAAUCAACCUCUACUUUAAAUCCUAUUUCUCCUAACUCAUAUCUUUAUUCCCCAUCACAACGUUUAAGUUGUUUGCGACCCAACAAAAAUCACUGGUUUGGAUACCCCCUCAUUGGGAGCAUGCUUGAAUACUCAUGUUAAUAAGCCUAUAGAAGAUUUGUUUUUCAUUAUUAUUUUCAAUACUAAACAAGUUCAAACCUCAAAGUGAAGACACAAAAAUGUUUUCUAACUUUAGCAUGCUACCUGCAGCCAAGGUAAAACGGGCAAAAACUGGUCUAUGGGUCAAGAAAAGGAAAGGUCUUGCAACAUGACUAGGGUUUAACUUGGAAAAGGACCAAUAAAUUUUUUGAUGAGUGUGGGUGCAACCAUUACUUUUUCAAAAAUGGCCUAUCACUAUUAAAAUAUAGUAAUUCUUCUAAAAUUGAAAGGAUCAGGUUCUACACAACUUGCUUUAUUGGAGAUCUCAUAGAAAAUGUUACCACAUAGAAACCCUUUUACUUAAAGAUUUCAAAUUGUUCGUCCUAAAUUAGAAAUAGAAAAUGGAGAAAAGGUGAUUGUUGAUUUAAUGAACUUGUGAAACUCAUUGAUAAACGAAUAGAGUAAAGGAGAGGCUUGAACUUCUGGCGGUGACGUGUCAAGUAUGAUGUUCACUUUUCAUAAAAUUGAGCAGAAGGGGCCGUGAUGAAAAAAGGAUAUAUCAGCUGACCUUUGACUUCCACACGUGUUCUUUUUUGCAUAAUAUAUUGCAUGAUUUUAUUUCAUCGACGUUUACAGCUGGGAAGAUGUAAAGAAAACUGUUCCAUGUCAUAUCUAGCAUUUCUGAACAAGUGUGCCAAGGGUCACAAUAUUAUAUCAUUAUGUUCUGUUUCAUGGACACCACUCUUCAGUGCGAACAGGACAAGUAUCGCUGAAAGUGUUAUUUUUUUUUGUGAUUGUCAGUGUUGUUUCUAUUAUUUUUGUCAUUUUGGGGAUUUAAACAUAUGGCAGUUAGUUAUAGCUGCAAAUAGGGUAUCAAUCUCUUGGGUUCUGAAUUCUUAGAAAGAACCUAUAUUGAAUUGUAUACGGGAUCCGCUGCGUGCUGAUAUUUUGCACAGCUUGAAUAUAGUAUCUUAUUUACUUGAACCUCAUGAAGACUUUUCGAUAUAUAUGGCACAUUUUAUAUUGUUGAGAAACUGAAUGAUAGAUAAUCAUCUAGCAAAGAUGUGUAUUUAAAAUUUAAUUUGCAUUAUUGCAUCAAAUUAUAUUGUUACAUCGCAUGUACUAAGUCUCCAUAUUACCCAGUUGUACUUUUGAAAUGAAACUCUACCAGAAUCUCAUUUCUGAAAGAAAAACAAAAAGUUAUAUAGGGAUGAAUGACACCUUGAAUAGAGUAACAGAUGAGUUUGAGGGGUCGGGAAAGCCCUGUCUUGAUAUUUUGUCUGAGAAGUCUAUCUGUACUUGUAUGUAUACUUGGAUGUAUUUGUUGAAAAGGUAGAUAGAAUUUUAUUCUGUUUUGAAUUGAAUGUAAGAUCCUAAUUGUUAUUGUAUUGAAGACCUAAUAAACCAUAUUUGAUUUAAUUGUAGGGUCUUCAUUGUAGACACGUGUAUAUUGAAUAAAAUACAAGAUUUCUCUCUGAUUCUCUCUCUCUUCUCCUCUCUUCCCCCUUUCUUCUCUGAUUCUUCUCAGUUCUCAUACAGCUUGUUGCUUGUUUAGUUUGUUGUUAUGAUCAUGUGUUUUCAAAACUAUGAUGAAACUUAACUUUUCAAAAGAAAGAGUGAAGUGCAUUUCUUGUUUUGCCAUACGUUUGAUUAAAAAGAAUAAAGAGGGAGAAGUUUUAGGUUAGUGCAGUGUUUUUGUUUAUUUAUUCUUUUUCUUGAAGCAAAAUGAUAUGCCAUUUGCAGUUUUCAAUUCUCUCUCCCCUUUUGUAUCAACUCAUAAAGACAAAUGAAUUCGAUACGACCUCAUUGUAUUUUAUUACCCAUUCCCCAAUGUUAACCUCUGAUUUCCCUCAGAUGUGCUCCACAGAUAACUCAAACUUUUUGUUACCGCUACCUAUUUGGCACUGGCCUCAUUGCACUGACAUGAAUUUGUUGGAUGCCACUGACUUCCGUUCUCUCCCCUCCCCUUCCCUCACAUCAACCCCCACCCCUCUUCCUCUCUCUUAUUAUGCUCCUUCCAGAGACUAUAAUGUUCUUCCCGUCUCCUUUGGAACUUCGAAAUCCGAAAAUGUCCGAUUAUUUGUUCUGAUGCAGUUGUCAAACAGGGUUAUUCCAUGGGCUGAUUUGUAUAGUUAAUAAAACAUAAAAUCUACUAGCCAAUUAUUACAUCAUUCUUCAAGGACUUGGAAGCUUUUUAUUUUGAGGUCCACUUUGUCUUGUGAGAGGUCAAGAUUCCCCCUUUCUUGGAGAAGAAAAAGGAGGCACCUUGGGAACUAUAAUUCGAAUAGAGGACGCAAUGAUUAUCAGUAGAAUAUAACCAUAUGAGGUGUAAAAUAGAAUAUUCAUGUACUAUACUCUUGUUGAUUUGAGUUUGUAGGUCUUUUACGUCGUAUCUUUCUGAUACGUUAAGCUCUUAUGGCAUAAUGAGCACGUCUAAUUAUUAACUGUGCUUCUAAAGCAUAAUGAUGCCGGCAGAAUGCUGUGUAAAUAACCCGAUGUUGGAAAUACCAGUUUUUUUAUUUGUAUUCUUGAUGAGCUCCGAUGUACAGUAUGCAUAUCUACCUGCUACAUGAUUGAUAGGUAUUUGUAUAGAGGCUUGUCUACUGGAGAUCGACCCACAUGCGACCAAUGCCUGCGAAUUCACGAGAAGCUGGCUGAGAGAGCUGGUUUGGGAUGCAUAUUACGAUCACUUGCAGACACAGUGAACACUGUUUGAUAACCAGUUUAUGAAAUGGAUCCCCAGUUGUUUAUUAUCCCCAUAGACUUGUACACAAAGUGGCACAAGGAACUUGAUUUUAAGCCAUGUCUCUCUCUUAAUUUAGCUAUGAAAUGAUGCUAUCUUUAGAGCC